rnacentral:rRNA from 1 species
AACGAACGCUGGCGGCAGGCCUAACACAUGCAAGUCGAGCGCCCAGCAAUGGGAGCGGCGGACGGGUGAGUAACACGUGGGAAUUUUCCUCAAGGUACGGAACAACUCAGGGAAACUUGGGCUAAUACCGUAUGAUGCAGAGAUGCCAAAGAUUUAUCGCCUUGGGAUAAGCCCGCGUCAGAUUAGGUAGUUGGUGAGGUAACGGCUCACCAAGCCUGUGAUCUGUAGCUGGUCUGAGAGGACGAUCAGCCACAUUGGGACUGAGACACGGCCCAAACUCCUACGGGAGGCAGCAGUGGGGAAUCUUGCGCAAUGGGCGAAAGCCUGACGCAGCCAUGCCGCGUGAAUGAUGAAGGUCUUAGGAUUGUAAAGUUCUUUCGCUCGUGACGAUGAUGACGGUAACGAGAGAAGAAGCCCCGGCUAACUUCGUGCCAGCAGCCGCGGUAAUACGAAGGGGGCUAGCGUUGUUCGGAAUUACUGGGCGUAAAGCGCGCGUAGGCGGCUUUGCAAGCCAGAGGUGAAAUGCCUGAGCUCAACUUAGGAAUUGCCUUUGGGAUUGCGAGGCUUCGAGGACUGGAGAGGUGAGUGGAAUUCCCAGUGUAGAGGUGAAAUUCGUAGAUAUUGGGAAGAACACCGGUGGCGAAGGCGGCUCACUGGCCAGUUUCUGACGCUAAAGCGCGAAAGCGUGGGGAUCAAACAGGAUUAGAUACCCUGGUAG